GGUGGCAGUUCCCAACCUCACACCCUCACACCCCGCCACCCAGGAGAUCAGAGGGACUUUCUGUAGGUAACACUAGGGUCCCUGAACCAACCAGUGCGGCCAGGAGGAUGGAACCCACUGGGUGAGUCUCCCUGAGCAGUCUGUCACAGGAUCAAGACACAAUGACAGAACGAUGACCUCACCCCCUACUUCACUCAGAAAACAGAAACUGCCAGUGGAGAUUCCCAGAACCAGGAGCUAUUUCCCAAAUGUACCUGCUCCCAGGCCCAUCCUGUCUUGCUCUAAUUAUCUUACAAGGAGCUCCCCUCCUCCCAUCCAAGGGAACCCCUCCUCCUGUGGAUCUACCCUGCCAGACACAGGAACCUGGCUCCCUUGUCACCUCCUCCAGCCUCUGUCUCUCUACUCGCUCCUGCCCAUCAGCUGUUGAUGGGCAAAAACGUCUCCCUCCUUUCAAAAGAGAAACAUAACACAUCUAUCGACUAUC